ACUCAAAUGAAUUGACGGGGGCCCGCACAAGAGGUGGAGUAUGUGGUUUAAUUCGAAGCAACGCGCAGAACCUUACCUGGGCUUAACAUCCCUUGACGACUACAGAGAUGUAGUUUUGCCUUCGGGCACAAGGUGAUAGGUGCUGCAUGGCUGUCGUCAGCUCGUGUCGUAAGAUGUUAGGUUAAGUCCUGCAACGAGCGCAACCCCUAUCCUUAGUUACCACCAUUCAGUUGGGGACUCUAGGGAGACUGCCGGUGUUAAACCGGAGGAAGGCGGGGAUGACGUCAAGUCCUCAUGGCCCUUAUGUCCAGGGCUACACACGUACUACAAUGGCAGAAACAAACCGACGCAAUACCGCGAGGUGGAGCAAAUCGGAAAAACACUGUCUCAGUCCGGAUUGAAGUCUGCAACUCGACUUCAUGAAGUUGGAAUCUCUAGUAAUCGCAGAUCAGCACGCUGCGGUGAAUACGUUCCCGGGCCUUGUACACACCGCCCGU
rnacentral:rRNA from 1 species